CCUACGGGGGGCAGCAGUCGAGAAUCAUUCACAAUGGGCGAAACCCUGAUGGUGCGACGCCGCGUGGGGGAAUGAAGGUCUUCGGAUUGUAAACCCCUGUCAUGGGGGAGCAAAUUAAAAAGAUAGUACCACAAGAGGAAGAGACGGCUAACUCUGUGCCAGCAGCCGCGGUAAUACAGAGGUCUCAAGCGUUGUUCGGAAUCACUGGGCGUAAAGCGUGCGUAGGCUGUUUCGUAAGUCGUGUGUGAAAGGCGAGGGCUCAACCCGCGGACGGCACAUGAUACUGCGAGACUAGAGUAAUGGAGGGGGAAGCGGAAUUCUCGGUGUAGCAGUGAAAUGCGUAGAUAUCGAGAGGAACACUCGUGGCGAAGGCGGGUUCCUGGACAUUAACUGACGCUGAGGCACGAAGGCCAGGGGAGCGAAAGGGAUUAGAUACCCUUGUAGUC
rnacentral:rRNA from 1 species